rnacentral:piRNA from 4 species
GUCUCUGUGGCGCAAUCGGUUAG